rnacentral:lncRNA from 1 species
ACCUCCGAAGUCCGAAGCACACUAUGGUCUCACCCCGUACACACAUAUACCUUAUCGGAAGAUAGAAUUCAAGAUAGUAGGCUAGGUAUGUAACAGACGACAACUCAAUCCCUGAAUGUUUUCUGGCAGUGGGAUAAGCUGAGUGAACAUACUGCGAGCACCUGUGGACACUAUUUUUCCAUGUCCCUCUUUUCUUUUCUGUCCGUGUGGUACCCUCUGAAGUCAUCCUUCAUUGCCACCACUUUUAUCAUCAUAAGUCCUUUGUCCUCUCUAAUUAUUAUAAAAACAAAAAUCCUGGAACAAAAAAUAUGAAGAAAAGUUAUUGAAACAUUACAUAGAAAUAUAAAUUUGGGAACAUAAAUCAUAAACAUAAGUUAGAAAGAAAAGUUAUGAACAAAGGUUUUUAUACCAAAGAAUUAUGGACAAGUUACUGGAGCAAAACUUAGCAACAAAAUUUAGAAUAAAGGUUAUGAGACAAAAGUUAGGAAAAUAAAUUGUUGAAAUAAAAGCAAUGAACAAAUUGUAGGAGAAAAUUUCAAGAACAAAAGUUAUGAACAAGUGGAUUUGUAUCACAAAUUAAUACACGAAAAAUCUAGAACAAAUUUCAGAAACAAAAAAUUGAACAAAAAAAUGGAAAUAAAAUACUAAAAAGAGAGGAAAACUUAAGGGCUAACUAUUGUUGGGCAAGCCACUGCCACUUCUUCACUGCUUCCAACCACCCCACUGGGACUUCUCUCGCGGUUGUCAAAGGAGAAAAGGGAACACCAGGAGUUAAGAAAAACUCAAUGGACCUCCCAACACCUACUCGUGCAUGAUAAAGAGGAGCUUUGGCGAAACUCUAGCUCACUCGCGGUGCCACCUUCUUCCCCCCCACCCCCCACCCCCUCGCUGUCGCCAUGGCUGUCGCUGCCACCCUACCUUGGUCUGGCCGCCUCCACCGCCAUCAGGGCCCCUAAACUACCCCCAACUUCCCCAACGCCUAACCAACCUUCCCCAAACCUCUUUCCUUCUAAGGCCACUAAAGUUUGAGAAGAUGAGAGGGAGAACUCGCUAGAACCCGAAGGAGCAGAUCCAGAACGAGGAGAGGAGGCCUACGUUGUUGGCGCCUGAACCUACCGCCACUGACAGAGGGAAGAGAGUGAGACACCACGUGGGGAGGUGGUGGGGUGUGGGCACGGGGAGGAGGUCGCCAGGGAGAGAGAAUGAGGUGGGCGAAGAAGGAGACGAGGAGGAUGACUGAGAUAGAGAGGUGGGACACGGUCAUGCGGGUGUGAGAGCAAGUGUGUGUACGAGUGGAUUAUAAGGCUAUGUGUUUUUACCUCCCCACGGGUCGUAAGGAAGUCUUUACCUGUCUACCCAACAACUAUGUGUUUUUAGCAUUUCAACACAUGAAUCUUUGUUAGCCAUAGGAUAAAGAUCCAACAGCCUCCAGCUUUCUUCUACCUCCAGCCUUCUUCUUCUCGAGUCACAGAUUAUAGGUCAUAAGAAAUAUUUUUUUCUAUAGAAGGACAGAUCACAUUUUUUUAUCAUAGAUCAUAAGAAAUAUUUUUUAUAGAAGACAGAUCACAAUUUUUUCUAUACAAGCACAAUCACAAAUCAUAAAUCAGAAGGAGGAGAGGCCUACUCGGUGGUGUCACCACCAUGGCCGGUGCGGGCGCAGGUGCGAGGGCGCGGUCGCCGAACGCCGUCGGGGGCCACGCUGAGGAGGCGCGUCGGGGAAGGAGGCACGGGCACAAUGGCGGGGGCACACAUCGAGGGUGGGGCAGGCGUCGGGAGGAAGGGAGGGGAGGAAGAGGAAGAGAGUGAGGGAGGAAUAAGAUGUGG